rnacentral:lncRNA from 1 species
CAAAUCUCCGGCUGGACGCAGGCAGGCAGGCAUCGAAACGGACGGAGGGAUGGACACGGGGGCAGGGCCUUUCACAGGGUCCGAGGAAGUGCGCUUCAGCUUGUCCCGCAUCUGUCUUAUCAACUUCGGUUGGUCGCCACCCGUGGAUCUCAGACCCUCUGAAGCUCUGAAGACAAAUCUCUGAGCACAGGACAGAAACAGCACGUGGGCUUGCGAAACGAACCCAACU